AUACGGAAGGUCCGGGCGUUAUCCGGAUUUAUUGGGUUUAAAGGGAGCGCAGGCGGAGAUGCAAGCGUGACGUCAAAUUUCGGGGCUCAACCCCGUCUCGCGUCGCGAACUGCGUCCCUUGGUUGCGGGAAGGGGAGGCGGAACUCGUGGUGUAGCGGUGAAAUGCAUAGGUAUCACGAAGAACUCCGAUCGCGAAGGCAGCCUUCCGGCCCGUCAACGACGCUCAUGCUCGAAGGUGCGGGUAUCAAACAGGAUUAGAUACCCUGGUAGUCCGCACAGUAAACGAUGGACACCCGCGGUUUGGCCUGUAUGGCUGAGCCGCCAAGCGAAAGCGUUAAGUGUCCCACCUGGGGAGUACGCCGGCAACGGUGAAACUCAAAGGAAUUGACGGGG
rnacentral:rRNA from 1 species